rnacentral:rRNA from 1 species
AGUUUGAUCCUGGCUCAGGACGAACGCCCCUUGCGUGCCUAAUACAUGCAAGUCGAGCGAGCUUGCCUAGAUGAUUUUAGUGCUUGCACUAAAUGAAACUAGAUACAAGCGAGCGGCGGACGGGUGAGUAACACGUGGGUAACCUGCCCAAGAGACUGGGAUAACACCUGGAAACAGAUGCUAAUACCGGAUAACAACACUAGACGCAUGUCUAGAGUUUGAAAGAUGGUUCUGCUAUCACUCUUGGAUGGACCUGCGGUGCAUUAGCUAGUUGGUAAGGUAACGGCUUACCAAGGCAAUGAUGCAUAGCCGAGUUGAGAGACUGAUCGGCCACAUUGGGACUGAGACACGGCCCAAACUCCUACGGGAGGCAGCAGUAGGGAAUCUUCCACAAUGGACGAAAGUCUGAUGGAGCAACGCCGCGUGAGUGAAGAAGGGUUUCGGCUCGUAAAGCUCUGUUGGUAGUGAAGAAAGAUAGAGGUAGUAACUGGCCUUUAUUUGACGGUAAUUACUUAGAAAGUCACGGCUAACUACGUGCCAGCAGCCGCGGUAAUACGUAGGUGGCAAGCGUUGUCCGGAUUUAUUGGGCGUAAAGCGAGUGCAGGCGGUUCAAUAAGUCUGAUGUGAAAGCCUUCGGCUCAACCGGAGAAUUGCAUCAGAAACUGUUGAACUUGAGUGCAGAAGAGGAGAGUGGAACUCCAUGUGUAGCGGUGGAAUGCGUAGAUAUAUGGAAGAACACCAGUGGCGAAGGCGGCUCUCUGGUCUGCAACUGACGCUGAGGCUCGAAAGCAUGGGUAGCGAACAGGAUUAGAUACCCUGGUAGUCCAUGCCGUAAACGAU